rnacentral:sRNA from 1 species
AUAAAUCCCCCUCAGGGAGGGGUGAGAAGCCUCGACAGGGUUUGACAAAACGCAUGCGUUUUGGACCGCCAAAGGCGGCCCGCAGGGUGAGCGCAGCGAAUCAACCCCUCCCUCACCGCCA